rnacentral:rRNA from 1 species
GACGAACGCUGGCGGCGUGCUUAACACAUGCAAGUCGAACGAAGAGCGAUGGAAGCUUGCUUCUAUCAAUCUUAGUGGCGAACGGGUGAGUAACGCGUAAUCAACCUGCCCUUCAGAGGGGGACAACAGUUGGAAACGACUGCUAAUACCGCACACGAUCUAAUCUCGGCAUCGAGGAUAGAUGAAAGGUGGCCUCUACAUGUAAGCUAUCACUGAAGGAGGGGAUUGCGUCUGAUUAGCUAGUUGGAGGGGUAACGGCCCACCAAGGCGAUGAUCAGUAGCCGGUCUGAGAGGAUGAACGGCCACAUUGGGACUGAGACACGGCCCAGACUCCUACGGGAGGCAGCAGUGGGGAAUCUUCCGCAAUGGACGAAAGUCUGACGGAGCAACGCCGCGUGAGUGAUGACGGCCUUCGGGUUGUAAAGCUCUGUUAAUCGGGACGAAAGGCCUUCUUGCGAACAGUUAGAAGGAUGGACG